UACGGAGGGUCCAAGCGUUAUCCGGAAUCAUUGGGUUUAAAGGGUCCGCAGGCGGUCAAUUAAGUCAGAGGUGAAAUCCCAUCGCUCAACGAUGGAACUGCCUUUGAUACUGAUUGACUUGAGUUAUAUGGAAGUAGAUAGAAUAAGUAGUGUAGCGGUGAAAUGCAUAGAUAUUACUUAGAAUACCGAUUGCGAAGGCAGUCUACUACGUAUAUACUGACGCUGAGGGACGAAAGCGUGGGGAGCGAACAGG
rnacentral:rRNA from 1 species